rnacentral:lncRNA from 1 species
UUGAGCGUGUAAUCCAAACGCGAUAAUUUUAAAAUUUAAGAUUAUAACAAGACGGACCCGGCAAACGUUGUUUGGCCAUAUAAAUAAUUUUUAAGUAAUUUCUAGUAUACACAAAAAAUAGCUUACUUAUUGUAAGUGUGUAAGAAUGUGGUAUAUGCGUGAAAUAGGCAUGGAGCGCUGUGAACGAUGAGGGAACAUUAAAAUAACAAAGGGCAACUAUUUAUUCUACGAAUCACAAUUUCGCGUGCACCUGUACGAUCGCCAACCAUGAUGCCAGCAACAUCAUCAACAACGGGUGCAUUGAAUCUACGAAUAUGCUCUACAGCUGGUGUUUUAUCAGGAUUAAUGACGAUAGCGUGUUUCUACAAUUUUGAAGAUAAAAGAAAACUAAAAACGCCAUUCUGUAGGGAAUGACCUUAUCUAUCAAAUCACCAAAUUGGGAUCCGAUUGGAUCAUUAUUAUAGCCACAACCACAAAAAUUUAUUUGCAAUGGCUAAACCCACCCCGUCCCACAGCUUUUUUGUUUUUUUCACCCAGGAGCGUGUUGGUGUGAGAAUUGUUGUAGAUGUAGAUGACAGAUGAAUAAAAAAAGUAAAAUUUGACAAAACAGCGGUAAGGUGCAGAUGCAGUACUGAGUGCCGGGUAUAAAAGUUGUGAAGCGUAAGAAGCGUCUCACACGUCCCUUAUCGUUUUAUAUUAAUAUUUUAAGCCUUAGUUACGGUAGCAUUUUCUAAACCUAAACGUGACAUUACCUAUGUGGAGCACUGGAAAAGUCACUAUAUUUGUUUAAAUAGUCUCUAGUUUCUCAACGGAACUUAAAAUAUACAAAAUUGUCUACUUUUCAGAUUGCCGAAUUCAAGAAAUUAAAAGGCAAGUGAUAUUUAGUUAUUCAAUAAAUGCUCCUUAAUUAUAUUUAUAUCUACAGAAUGUACAUGAUUAAUAAGGAGCAGUACAUUUUCUCCGAUGCAUAAAAGGAUCCCAU